rnacentral:rRNA from 1 species
UGGGGAAUAUUGCACAAUGGGCGCAAGCCUGAUGCAGCCAUGCCGCGUGUAUGAAGAAGGCCUUCGGGUUGUAAAGUACUUUCAGUCGGGAGGAAGGUGUCAAGGUUAAUAACCUUGGCAAUUGACGUUACCGACAGAAGAAGCACCGGCUAACUCCGUGCCAGCAGCCGCGGUAAUACGUAGGUGGCAAGCGUUGUCCGGAUUUAUUGGGCGUAAAGCGAGCGCAGGCGGUUUCUUAAGUCUGAUGUGAAAGCCCCCGGCUCAACCGGGGAGGGUAAUUGGAAACUGGGAGACUUGAGUGCAGAAGAGGAGAGUGGAAUUCCAUGUGUAGCGGUGAAAUGCGUAGAUAUAUGGAGGAACACAAGGGGCGAAGGCGGCUCUCUGGUCUGUAACUGACGCUGAGGCUCGAAAGCGUGGGGAGCAAACAGG